GCGAGAGUUGCUUUCAGAAUAUUAUCAAUGACACAUUAUACACAUCAAAUCCCCAUGUCCAGGUUUUGGUGACAAAUAUUUGGUCAGUGAAUGGGUUCCUUUCAACAGCUUGAUGUUUGGAUUCAUUGUACAAAAAUCUACAUCAGUCAAUCAGAGCAACACAUGAACCAAACUUGUUCAGCUAGUCCUUUUCUUUUUAAAAGCUGGAUGUAUGAUUCCAUCAUAGGAAUCUAGGUUCUCAAUCUUAGACAUACAUUCUUUCAUCCUCUUUAGUACAAUAGGCAUGGCUGAGAUAUUGCUGGAAAUUUUA
rnacentral:misc_RNA from 1 species